AUGAAGAAGAGGCCUAUAGUUGCAGAGAAGGCUGACUUAAGAAGCAGGAGGAAAAAUUAUGGCUUGGUAAGAAAGAGGAAGUUUCGCGCGGAUCGGUUUUGCAUAAGUGCUAUAAACGCGGUUCGGUGGAGCUCGGACAGCGGCAGCACAGCGACCGCGGGGUCCUCCGUCACCGAGAGCAUCGGGUUUACUAGGGGACGUACGCGCAUGGAAGCACGCUAUCCCGAAAGUAUUUUAUUAAGCACAGAUCGACUCACCGCUAGAGCAGGAAAAUCGGCUGUUAUAGGAAAAGAAAGGACCAAAUCCUCGUUUUCUCACUUUAAUUUCUGCUAUCCGCGCGGCAGGGAGGCAUGGCGGCUGCGCACCUCCCGGCCGGUCCCGGCGCGGCCGCGGCCCCUCGCAGCCCAGCGCCGCCCGCGCCCGCGGGAGAGGCGCCGCCCGGCUCGGCACCGCGCGUCCCUUCCGCCCGCCGCCCGGUACCGCGGUGGAACAGCGCUGCCGCUCCUUCGCUGCCUCCCGCGCGGGGUAUUUGUGAUGUAACUUGCUACCUGGCAGUCAUUAAUUUCACUGACACAGGGAUGCCGAAACCUUCUCAAUCCUUUUCUGAUAGCCGUGAAUCAGAGCGAUCAGGAGAUCUAAUAUUUCACUCCAGAAAUUCUAAAGCUGAAGAGAAGCGGUUUUCAUUGAGUAAGCUGUCUGCAGAAGCUGUGUCUAUACAGAGGCUCUGUAUUUUAUUCACUGGAGAGAACCAGCAGAAGACCUCAGGCCAUUUUCUAGCUGAUUUAAUUAAAAGAAGCUUCAAAGUUCUAAUGACCAUAGCAAGGAUAGAAAUCUCAGAAGUGAAUGUGCCACAGAAUGGCAGCCCAAAGAGCUUCAGCCAGUGGCACCUCCUGCCAAUGUAGGACAUUGAGGUAUGGAGACGAAGCUCCUCUAUGACUACCAAGUUUGCAUACG
rnacentral:lncRNA from 1 species